CUUAUUCUUCUUCUUCUUCUACUUCUUCUUCCUAUUCUUAUUCUUCUUCUUCUUCUUCUUCUUCUUAUUAUUAUUAUUAUUAUUAUUAUUAUUCUGCUUCUUCUUGUUCUUCCUCUUAUUCUUAUUCUUCUUAUUCUUAAUCUUCUUCUUCUUCAUCAUCUUCUUCUUCUUAUUCUUAUUCUUCUUAUUGUUCUUAUUCUUCUUAUUCUUCAUAUUCUUAUUCUUA
rnacentral:lncRNA from 1 species